AUUGAACGCUGGCGGCAUGCCUUACACAUGCAAGUCGAACGGCAUCGCGGGAAAGCUUGCUUUCUUGGCGGCGAGUGGCGAACGGGUGAGUAACACAUCGGAACGUACCGGCUAGUGGGGGAUAACCCGUCGAAAGACGGGCGAAUACCGCAUACGCUCUUCGGAGGAAAGCAGGGGACCUUUGGGCCUUGCGCUAGCCGAGCGGCCGAUGUCCGAUUAGCUAGUUGGUGGGGUAAAGGACUACCAAGGCGACGAUCGGCAGCGGGUCUGAGAGGACGAGCCGCCACACUGGGACUGAGACACGGCCCAGACUCCUACGGGAGGCAGCAGUGGGGAAUCUUGGACAAUGGGGGCAACCCUGAUCCAGCAAUGCCGCGUGGGUGAAGAAGGCCUUCGGGUUGUAAAGCCCUUUCGGCAGGGAAGAAAUCGGCGGGGCGAAUAACCCUGCUGGAUGACGGUACCUGCAGAAGAAGCACCGGCUAACUACGUG
rnacentral:rRNA from 1 species